UACGGAGGGGACUAGCGUUGUUCGGAAUUACUGGGCGUAAAGCGCACGUAGGCGGAUUUGUAAGUCGGGUGUGAAAGCCUGGGGCUCAACCCCAGAAGUGCAUUCGAUACUGCGUAGCUUGAGUGGUAGAGAGGAUAGUAGAAUUGUUGGUGUAGUGGUGAAAUACGUAGAUAUCAACAGGAAUACCGGUGGCGAAGGCGGCUAUCUGGCUACACACUGACACUCAGACCCGAAAGCGUGGGGAUCAAACAGG
rnacentral:rRNA from 1 species